UUCUGGUUGAUCCCGCCGGACCCUACUGCUAUCGGGNGUGGGACUAAGACAUGCGAGUUGAGCGUCUCUAGCCAUGGUGAGACGCGGCAUACGGCUCAGUAACACGUGGCUAACCUACCCUUAGGACAGGAACAAACCCGGGAAACUGGGGCUAAUACCAGAUAGGCGAGGAAACCUGGAAUGGUUCUUCACCCAAAGGGCUUUGGAAGCAUGCUUUUCAAAGUCGCCUAGGGAUGGGGCCGCGUCCGAUCAGGUUGUUGGUGAGGUAACGGCCCACCAAGCCUAUAACCGGUACGGGCCGUGAGAGCGGGAGCCCGGAGAUGGGCACUGAGACAAGGGCCCAGGCCCUACGGGGCGCAGCAGUCGCGAAAACUCCGCAAUGCACGAAAGUGUGACGGGGCUACCCCGAGUGCUCUCCGCUGAGGAAAGCUUUUCUCUGGUGUAACAAGCCAGGGGAAUAAGGAGAGGGCAAGACUGGUGUCAGCCGCCGCGGUAA
rnacentral:rRNA from 1 species